GCUUAACACAUGCAAGUCGAGGGGCAGCAUGGUCUUUUCUUGCUAAGACUGAUGGCGACCGGCGCACGGGUGAGUAACACGUAUCCAACCUGCCGUCUACUCUUGGACAGCCUUCUGAAAGGAAGAUUAAUACAAGAUGGCAUCAUGAGUCCGCAUGUUCACAUGAUUAAAGGUAUUCCGGUAGACGAUGGGGAUGCGUUCCAUUACAUAGUAGGCGGGGUAACGGCCCACCUAGUCUUCGAUGGAUAGGGGUUCUGAGAGGAAGGUCCCCCACAUUGGAACUGAGACACGGUCCAAACUCCUACGGGAGGCAACAGUGAGGAAUAUUGGUCAAUGGGCGAGAGCCUGAACCAGCCAAGUAGCGUGAAGGAUGACUGCCCUAUGGGUUGUAAACUUCUUUUAUAAAGGAAUAAAGUCGGGUAUGCAUACCCGUUUGCAUGUACUUUAUGAAUAAGGAUCGGCUAACUCCGUGCCAGCAGCCGCGGUAAUACGGAGGAUCCGAGCGUUAUCCGGAUUUAUUGGGUUUAAAGGGAGCGUACAUGGAUGUUUAAGUCAGUUGUGAAAGUUUGCGGCUCAACCGGAAAAUUGCAGUUGAUACUGGAUAUCUUGAGUGCAGUUGAGGCAGGCGGAAUUCGUGGUGUAGCGGUGAAAUGCUUAGAUAUCACGAAGAACUCCGAUUGCGAAGGCAGCCUGCUAAGCUGCAACUGACAUUGAGGCUCGAAAGUGUGGGUAUCAAACAGGAUUAGAUACCCUGGUAGUCCACACGGUAAACGAUGAAUACUCGCUGUUUGCGAUAUACUGCAAGCGGCCAAGCGGAAGCGUUAAGUAUUCCACCUGGGGAGUACGCCGGCAACGGUGAAACUCAAAGGAAUUGACGGGGGCCCGCACAAGCGGAGGAACAUGUGGUUUAAUUCGAUGAUACGCGAGGAACCUUACCCGGGCUUAAAUUGCAGAUGAAUUACGGUGAAAGCCGUAAGCCGCAAGGCAUCUGUGAAGGUGCUGCAUGGUUGUUGUCAGCUCGUGCCGUGAGGUGUCGGUUUAAGUGCCAUAACGAGCGCAACCCUUGUUGUCAGUUACUAACAGGUUCCGUUGAGGACUCUGACAAGACUGCCAUCGUAAGAUGUGAGGAAGGUGGGGAUGACGUCAAAUCAGCACGGCCCUUACGUCCGGGGCUACACACGUGUUACAAUGGGGGGUACAGAGGGCCGCUACCACGCGAGUGGAUGCCAAUCCCCAAAACCUCUCUCAGUUCGGACUGGAGUUUGCAACCCGACUCCACGAAGCUGGAUUCGCUAGUAAUCGCGCAUCAGCCACGGCGCGGUGAAUACGUUCCCGGGCCUUGUACACACCGCCCGUCAAGCCAUGGGAGCCGGGGGUACCUGAAGUGCGUAAGC
rnacentral:rRNA from 1 species